CAUGCAGACAGCUAGCUUGCAUGCUACAUGCUUGUAGCCCCUGUUGAUGCCCGUUAGCUGUGAAAACAAACAGCAUCACUCCGCGCGGAGCAGAUUGAGACACAGAGGAAGAGUUUCCAAGGGCAAACAUGUGAUCUUUAUUCAAGCCGAAAGGCAAGCGGGAAUGCUUCAGAAUUACUGUCGAGGUUACGGAGAACCAAAUGUGUGAUGCCGCAUUAUGGAUGCAAAUCCAACAUCCCCCAUCACUACCUUCAUGAGAGCAGCUGGAAAAAGGGCAGCAGGAGAGAUGGAGUUUCAACGACAUUGAAUGCAAUGCUGGUUUGCUAGAAGUUUCUCAUUAAAAGUUAGAAGGGAUUUUUGGAACGAGCCCAGAAUUAAAACAACCCAUUUACCCUCUAAGUGUGGCGUGACAGGUGGCGUUCCUAACAUACUGAUACAUGCUUUAUAACUCAUACAUAAGCUUUAUGCAAUCAAAGGUUUUGAUCCGCAUCCAGCAAUAUCAUUUAAAAUGAUUUACACACAGUGUUUUGCCCCUGUGUUUCAAAAGAGGCAAUUAUGCUGGUAUCG
ensembl:lncRNA